ACAAUGAAGAGUUUGAUCCUGGCUCAGGAUGAACGCUAGCUACAGGCUUAACACAUGCAAGUCGAGGGGCAGCAGGAUCUAGCAAUAGAUUGCUGGCGACCGGCGCACGGGUGAGUAACACGUAUCCAACCUGCCGAUAACUCGGGGAUAGCCUUUCGAAAGAAAGAUUAAUACCCGAUAGUAUAAUCAGACCGCAUGGUUUGAUUAUUAAAGAAUUUCGGUUAUCGAUGGGGAUGCGUUCCAUUAGGCAGUUGGUGAGGUAACGGCUCACCAAACCUUCGAUGGAUAGGGGUUCUGAGAGGAAGGUCCCCCACAUUGGAACUGAGACAC
rnacentral:rRNA from 1 species